GAUACCCAAACCGUACGCCAAAUAAAUCAAUGUUCCGAUCAAUACUAUAAACAAUUGGAUGAAAAACAUCAAAAAGUUUAUGAUAAAUUAAAAACAUUUCUCAACGGUUGUGUCUCAGGAAAGGACAGCGAAAUCAUUGGCUAUACUAAGAUAGAUAUGUCGGACAUAUCGGUAAAGUCACGGUUAAUCCAAUAUUGUUGGCCAGCCUAUAGUGACUGCCUUAAAACUCAACUACAAACAUUGAGCGUUGAUGAUAAAAAAUUGGUCCAGGAUAAUAUCGAUAAUAAGGCUAAUGAUAAAUUUAAGGAAUGUUUCUAUCAAGCGGUUAAUAUUAAGUAAAAAUAGGGAA